GGUACGUAAGCCGUGUAGCAGACCAUUUGUGUUGGGGAGUUUGGCUGGGGCGGAAAACUGCUACACGGCAACGGCAGUCUCCUAAGGUCCACUCAGAGACGACAGAAACGUCUCGUAGAGCAUAAAGGCAAAAGUGGGCUUAACUUACAUUUUCAGUAGUAAUGUGAAGCAAGAAAUUGAGGCUUAACGAUCCUUAGCGGCGGGUGCCAGCCCACGCUUGAGGUGAGAGAAAAGUUACCACAGGGAUAACUGGCUUGUGGCCGCCAAGCGUUCAUAGCGACGUGGCUUUUUGAUCCUUCGAUGUCGGCUCUUCC
rnacentral:rRNA from 1 species